UCUUAGUCUUCUGUGUUCCUAUUGGAUGAAGAGAUUGCCAUGUCCAAUCAGAGGCGCUGACGUGUCUGGUGAAAAUGUCCCGAGGCUCCAGAGAAGAGGAGGACUAGUCCGAGGAAGAGAGAGGCUGAGCGACCAGUUUGACUCAAAGUAGAAUAAGUGGAAGCAGACUCUACUUUCUGUUUGUGACAACGUCAUACUUUGGACCAGAGAAGUCCAUCCUUUCUGGACCCUGUCGGCGGACCUCGAAGCUCCACGAAUGACAGGAGGGCGCGUGCUCAUCCGGCGCCGCCUCGCCUCGUGUGAAGCCCGCCUUAGCAUCUGCCGUCCACUGAAGGUCGCGUGAGUGAUGGCGGGAUUGGAUAAAACGCACAUCUCACAGCGGCCGCCGACUUUCUCAUCUGCCACACAACAUCAGACUCGCCUCUCGUCAGCACGCCGCCGCCUUUGCUGCAUAUUGAGCUGCACAUUUCCAUGGAAGGUGUGAAGGCAGACGGAUAUGAACGUCGGUGAAGCCGAACCCACUCUGGAUCACUGCAGUCCCCUCAAAACUCUUCCAGCAGGAUUCCCAGGAAAAACAUUCUCAAAAUGUCGUCUCCAACCUUUGUAGGCCGUUUAAUGUCAGACAAUAUUUCAUUAAAACUUUUAUUUUCUAAAUCUAAACAUGAGUCCACCGUCAGAACAGCUGUUUUAGCAGCAGCACGGUCACAUUAAGACAGCUGGUUGCUGAAUAUCCUGCUAUGAAAGGAGGGUCUAAGGCAGAGAUGCCCAGUUUAGUCUGUUUAUUAAAGUUUAGUGUUCUCUAUGCAU